GGCAUCACCCACUGUUAGCUCUGCCUCGAGAGUUCAGCUAUCACUAAGGUUGUCAUUGAUGCUGGUACCCUUUGGUCCUGAUCACUCUGUGAGCACAAAAUCUCUUAAAAAAAAAAAAAAA